UUUGAAAGUCGGAAGACAGCGACACACGUAUUAGUGUAUCUCUUAACACAGGAACUUUAUAUAGACAUAUUUGCUGGGAUUUUUUUCACUGAAAGUGUGAUUUUGAUCAGCAUACUUGUACGAAGCGAUCGCAGCCAUAUUUAUUUGAAAAUGUCGAACAGAGACUUUGCUCGCCACCAAAAUUUGGAUGAAGAUGAUUUGGUUGAAGACUGUGCACCUUUUGGAGGUCCAACAGAAUAUUUGAAAAAGUCUGCACACCACUUUUCGUCAGACAAGUGCGAUUCUGUGUGCGACAGCGGUGUGGAUCUUCGAUCUGUGGAAAGUUGCUACAGUUCGUAUGCUGGGUCUCUUCCCGUAGUUGCCGAGAAGAGUCCAGACACUCAAACUAUUGAGGAGAAAUUGGAAGGGCUUACUUUGGGUUCUCAAAACUAUCCAUCUACAGAGGAAACAAAAUGCUCUCUGGAUGAUGGUUAUAUAAGCUACGACAGAAAGGAAGUUUCGUGUGAAUUAUCACAUGAUCCAACUCCCCAAAUAUCACCAGAAGUAUUCCAGCUAUACAGUCAAGAUAAUGAUGGAGACUCGUAAGUUCGCAAUCUUAUUUAAAAUUUGCAAAAUUAUAUAAAAUUUAAACUUUUGUGUGCAGGGUGCAGGGCUUGUAGUUAACGACCUUUGUUCGAUCUGGGGAUUUCCAGUACUGCGCACGCGUGUAGGGCAUGUGAUCGGCCGCGAGGUCAACGAUAGCUUUAUGCAAAUGAGUCAGACGUACUUCCCGAUUCACUCAUGAAUAAACAUGUUGACUGAGCUGACACAUAUAUUGGAUAUAUGUCAACAUUGAAUGAUCACUCAAAUUUUAUAAAUAGUGUUUACUUAAUUGAAAAAUCACAAGAUAUAUGGUGAUAAAAGCAGUAUAAAAAUAGAUCAGAAGAAUGGAUGAAAAAAUUAUUAUGAAACCUGAAACUUAAAAUUAUCUAAUAUCUAUAUUUUUUUAUAGGCAACUACACAUGGCAAUCAUCAAUUUACUGGUGCCAAUUGCUCUGUAUAUCAUCCAGCAAGCCCCUAGCAGAGAUUGGCUAAAUCUUCCCAACAACAUGCUCCAGACCCCUCUUCAUUUGGCUGUCAUGACACGACUUCCCCAAGUUGUCAAGGCCCUCAUUGAUGGGGGAGCGGACAUUGAGGCCAGGGAUUCUAAAGGGGACACUCCCCUUCACAUUGCCAGUAGAGAGGGGUAUGACGAUAUCGCCCUGAUCUUGCUUGCACCUGCUAGUACUGCAAGCAAAAGAACUUCUCAGGACUUGGAAGCUCGAAAUUAUGAUGGUCAGACUUGUCUGCACUUGGCAGCAGAGAACACCCAUCUCCCAAUUAUUCGUCUUUUAGUGAUGUCAGGAGCCAACCUGAAUACACAGGAUGGAAAAAGUGGCAAGAGUGUCAUCCAUUAUGCUGCAGAAACUGGGAACACUUUGUUGUUGGAUUUUUUGCUGCAAUACAGCACCAUCAACCUUCAUUCCAGAACGUACAGUGGACUCACAGCCAUCAUGUUAGCUGAUGGACGAAAUUAUCACGACAUUGUGCAUCAAUUGCAGAAAUACGGGGGGUCACUGGAAAAUGUUGCUUUCGAUGACUCUUCAGAUAGUGAGGAAGAUAUGAGUUGAAAUGACUUUCCAAUUGUCAUGCUCACAACUGGGUCGGCCCAAGACGUCCCGAGAUGACUCCCGGCACAAUCUGUGAUAACUUCGUCCCUACGAGGAUAAAUACGAGUCUAACUCUGGCAGGAAACUCAAACUACAAACUUUAAUCCAUGGUUGUGAUUAUUUGUAAAAAAAAAAAAAACAAAACAACAAUUUUUUCCAGUAUUUUCAUCUAAAGGAAUACAUGUUUGAUAUAUAUAUGUAUGAUCUCGCAGUAUUAGCGGGAAGUUCUGUAGGAAAAAAUGUGUUUUUUUACAUGCAUGAGAUUUUUUUUUACCAUGUGUAAGAUUUUUUGAGUUUUGUAUGAUGGGUCUGAACAUCUUUGAAAAUUUUGUACGCAAAGGUGCCAGCUGGACUUGCCCUAUGCCAGUAUAAAGAACUAAUCGCUGUAGAAAUCCUGUAUAUUUAUUGUGAAUGUUGUAUGUGAACAGACAGGUCAGUAGAGGAAGAUCUACAUCUAUUCCAUUCCACUGUGUUGUUUUUAUCUGUUUGAGAAAUAAAUCGAAAAAUCA
rnacentral:misc_RNA from 1 species